rnacentral:tRNA from 1 species
GCCUGUAUAGCUCAGUCGGUAGAGCGAUUGUUUCGUAAACAAUAGGUCCUGGGUUCAAUUCCCAGUACAGGCU